CCCUUAGAUGUUCUGGGCCGCACGCGUGCUACACUGACCAGUGCAACAAGCAUCCGUCCUUGGCCGACAGGCCCGGGCAAUCUUUGAACGCUGGUCGUGAUGGGGAUAGACUUUUGCAAUUUUUGGUCUUCAACGAGGAAUUCCUAGUAAACGCAAGUCAUCAACUUGCAUUGAUUACGUCCCUGCCCUUUGUACACACCGCCCGUCGCACCUACCGAUUGAAUGGUCCGGUGAAGCCUCCGGAUUGGCGCGCACCUCGGUGCCGCCGAGAAGUUGGCUAAACCUUACCAUUUAGAGGAAGGUGAAGUCGUAACA
rnacentral:rRNA from 1 species